AUUAUCUUGGUAUUCUUCGAAGGAAAAUUCGAAAACUCGAUUAUCAAAGAAAUUGUAGUUUUCAAGAAUGUAUUGGCAUUAUUGCAUAUAUCAAGGAAAUUCAAGAAGUCUUGGUAUUCUUGCAUGCAUUCUUUUUAAGAAAAAAUGUAGAACAUUAAGCGAUUGGUAUUCAUAAACGCAUAUUUUAAGGAAAUCAAAGAAAUUGUAGUUUUCAAGAAUAUAUUGGCAUUGCAUAUAUCAAGGAAUUUCAAGAAGUUCUCGCAGCGUGUUGUAAGGAUUUGUUUUCUAGUUUUUUAGGGAGAAUGACUGAAGCUAUUUGGAGCUCAAUUCGGUCACGGGGUUAUCUUGUAUUGACGAUGUCUGAUCAAAACCCUAAAACCUAAAUCAAUUUUCCCGCUGUUAUAUCUACUGGGAGAUAGGGAGCCGAAUACCUGAGGCUAUUUGGAGCUCAAUUCGGUCGGGGGGUUAUCUUGUAUGAUUUCACAAGGUUGUUGAGGAGUUGGUUUUCAACAGCCUCGAUGCUGGUGCCAUUAAGGUAUCUGUUGCUAUAAGCAUUGGAACCUGCUACAUUAAGGUGGAUGACAAUGAUAAGAUCUGGUGUCUCACGAGAUGGACUGGUGCUGAUUAGAGAAAGAUAUGGAUUGCAUGAAUUACAUCAACUGAUGGGCUGUUUGAUGAAAAAGAGUUGCAGGGCGAAGUGUUGCAAAGCUACACUUCAGGUUCCUUCCCCUGCAGCAAACGAAGCUGACUGGAGAGUGCACUGUCAGGAGAGAGAUUCGAUCUUCGCAGAAUAUUCUGUGGGGAAGUGCUUCUGAAUAGUGUGAGCCUUAGUCCGGAUUCCUCUGUCAGCUUGAAAGUUCAAGUUAGUCAAUUGAUCGAUCUCUGGCUCCUUGCACAGUUGGUUUAAACUGGAAAUCCAGAAGCUCUGUGCAACCCCUUUCAUCCAAUGCCAGAAACUAGAGCUGUAAGGAGACUGCAGUAUUCUGCAAAAGCUACUGCUCAGAGCUUCCACAGCAGUCGUCCCAUCAGUGUGAUCAACCUUCCACCCCAAGUUGUGGUGACGGUGUAUUCUCUGAUGAAGGGCCAAGUGUGAAAAUUAAACUAGUUAACAUCUGGAAUAGCAAAUUACAAGCUCAAUGGGAGUGCAGGGAGUGCACAAGUACACACGAUGGGGAGUCAAAAGAAGAGAAAUGCUUUCCGCACGAUCAACAUUAAUGGAAGAGAAUGAGUUUGAUUAUUCAUCAAUAUCUAAUGGACCCUUACAUACUGUGCUGGGACAUUCGGAAGACUGCUGACAUUGUUUACAAGAUGUACAGAUCAUCAGAAACUACCAAUCAGUGGAUAUAUUUUGAUAUUGAACCUCGAGGUCAGCAUCUCGGCUCUGGAGGACAGGAUGGCUCAGUUCACAUUUACAAUCUUCAAACCGGACAGUGGGUAUCCAGCUUCCGAGCUGCAUUGGACACGGUUAAUGGCUUUUCAUUUCAUCCUUUCCUGCCGAUGGCUGCCUCUUCAUCAGGCCACCGGAGAUUUGGAGUUUUAGAUGACUCCCAUUAGGAUAUGCUCCUUACUGAUGAGCGAAUUCGUUUGGAAGAAUUGCGUGAAAGGUCCUUUCUGGAAAAAUGAGGACAACAAUCUAUCUUGAUUCUGAGCAAGAAUUGGUACGAUGAUAUUGAUAGUAGGUAACGUCUUGUGGGGAUGUCUUGAAACUCUUUAUAAUAGGUCAUUCCUGAAAUUGGUUACUAAUUACUACACAUCAUUUGGAAGAACUGUGUGAGAAGGUUAAUGGUUGUCAAAAAAUUAUUGAGGUGUCAUUUCAACUUGGAGUCUGUAACUUACUGAAUUAUCAGGUCCUAUUUGGAAAAAUGAGGACAAAAACUUAUCUUGAUUCUGAGCAAGAAUUGGUCAUUCCUGAAAUUGGUUACCAAUUACUACACAACUAUGCUGACCAAAUUCAAAACUGGGGUUGUAUCUGCAACAAUCAUUCUCAAACUUCAAAAUCAUUUACCAGGUGCAAUUAUGUUUGGAGACGCAUUAUUUCCUUUAGAAUGUUCUCUCAUUUUUAAGGAGUUGAAGCAGACUUCAUUGUGUUAUCAAUGUGCUCAUGAGCGAUCAAAUUUUGUCCCUCUUUUGCCAACUUGGGUGCUCUGCAUGAGCAGAUUGCUAAGUUAGGUUCGUGGAGUAGAAGUUCCUUCGAGGCAUGGCAUGGAUUACACCAGCCUGAAAUCAACCUAGAACGUGCAGCAAAGCGACUAAGAUCAGUCGUAUCCUAGUGUCUAAAAGCUCUCGAUAAUCUGGAUAUGGAGCUCGGUACAUCUAUGCAGAUUCAACAAAUAAAUGUAUGUACUAAAUGUAACACUAGCUUUUGGUUGCAGCAAGACUCUCAACACACACGCACAUACAUACACACACAAAAAAUAAGAAAAGGGAACGGAAUGUAUAGAUUCCAUGUAAAGUCGGAGUAACUCAUCGUUAAAGAAGUACUACGAUAAUGAAUUAGGAUCUUGUGUCUCACAAGGUGGACUGGUGCUGAUGGGAAAAGGAUAUGCUACAUCAAAAUACAACCAUUCAGAUCAUAUGCAUGCUUUCCCAGCAAGCUUUGACUUUGAUAGGAGAUGCACUGAGCUCUAUUUCUGACGUUUCCUUUUUGGAAAUUGUUACUAAAACUCACGGGAGGCCAAAUGGAUAUCGUAAGGUUAUGAAGGACGACAAGUGUUUGUACCUUGGAAUUGAUGAUUGUAGACAAAAUGUUGGUACAACAGGUGAUUCUGUAUAAGCCUACUUGAUAGAUGAGUUGAUGUUGUUUGCUUAUAAGGUAAUUUCUUGGGAUUAUCUCUUUGCAGUCAUUUUUCGUGAUGUAUUUUACAACCAACCAGUUCGAAGGAAGCAAAUACACUCCCAAGUACUUCUAGUUUUCUCAAAAUUCAAACUAAUAAAUAAUUUUGAUUUACAUACUUCUUAAGCUACUCUGUCCUGAUUGAUCUUUUGGUUUGCAUAUAUAAUCUGUAAACCCAAAGAGGGUCUUGCAUUCUCUCAUAGAGUCUCUGCUAAAAAUACCCCUUGUGCAUCCCAGUGUCUCCUUCAAAAUUGUUGAUUUUGAAAGUGAGGAUGACCUGCUUUGAACACAUGCUUCUCCUUCUCUGUUCCCAUUAUCUUUGGUGGAUUUGAGAUUCAUCUGAGUUCCCUUAACAAUUUGAAUGCAAGCGAUGGUUCAUUCAAGCUCUUAGGAUGCAUCUCAGGUCCUGAUGUUUACACAAUGAAGAUAUCAAUUCAAGAUUUGUUUCCAAAGGACCAAUACAUGAAUUACUUAAUAACAUAGCGAUGAGUUUUGACAGUGCUUCUGACAUUGAGAAGAGAAGUAGAUCUCAUAUAUCCACUAUUUUUGUUGAACCUAAACUGUCCAAGAUCGUUAUAUGAUUCGACUUUGGAGCCUUCAAAGACCUCUGAAUUUAAGAGCAUGGUGUUAUGGCCCGCCACUUGAUCUUGAAGAAGGUAGAAGAAUCUAGAGUCUUGGAGAGGUAAGUCUAAGUCCGUGACAAUGGGGAGUCAAAAGAAGUACACACGAUGGGGAGUUAAAAGAAGUACACACGAUGGGAGUCAAAAGAAGUACACACGAUGGGGAGUCAAAAGAAGGAAAGAAGAGUGAUAUGGGGCGCUUUAUCUUUUGCUUCAUCACUUUGUGACCGUCUGGUGGAGUAUAUUCUUGUGUAGAAACUUAGGUCCAUGUCAAUAUAAAUGUGAGUCCCUUUGUAUAUAGUCAAUGAUUAUGAUCUUUUAUUUUUUAUUCUAGCAUUUAUCUUCGUUGAACAUUACGGUCAUUGUCAUGUUCUACAACAUUCUGCAUAUGAGUGAAUUCAUUCGGAAGAACUGCGUGAGAAGGUCAUGCCUGAAAUUGGUUACCACUAACUGGGGUUGGAUCUGCAACAAUCAUUCUCAAGCUUCAAGAUCAUUUACUAGGAACUUAAAUCUGAUUCACAAGCAGCCAACAUCUGUCACACUUCUUGCGGGCAACAUUUUCUAAUACUUGUCUAUGUCACAUUAUACAUUCAAAGAGUUUAAGUAUAUGUAAACAUGCAUUUGCAUAUCAGUCUUGGAAGGGAAAGAUGCCGUGUAUUUUGUGCGUUAAUCUAACUGACGUGGAUCUGUUAGAAUUUAUUCAAUAGGUUCUUGCGUAAAUGCCGUGACAUGUUCUAUGAAUUAUGUAUUUGCAACCCACAACUUGCUUGAUGCGGAUGGAUCAUCAAUAGUACCCCCAUCAGUGAAUGGGGUCCUGAAUAAACAAGGCUUGUAGGAGUGCAAUUAUGUUUGGAGAUGCAUUGUUGCCUUCAAAAUGUUCUCUCUUUGUUGAGGAGUAGAAGCAGACUUCAUUGUGCAGCAAAGCGACUACGAUCAGUUGUAUGCUAGUGUUUAAAAGUUCUCGUGACUCAUGAGUAUACCUAAUUUGGUUAUGCUUGCUACCUACCAACCAAUAACUUCGCACUGAAGAUAUCCAGUCUGCAAUCACCACAUUGAAGGAUUAUCUGGAUCUGGAGCAUGAUACAUCUAUACAGAUUCAACAAAUACAAAUAAAUGUAUGUACCAAAUGUUACACUAGCUUUUUGUGGCAUCAACUCUUAUCUCUCUCUCAACGCACAUACACAUGAAAAAUAGGAAUAGUGAAUGGAUUAUACAAUUUCCAUGUAAAGCCAUAGUAACUCACUGUGUGUAGAUACUGAAAUAGAUAGCUUGAUUGUAUCAUCAUUCAAUCGUUGAGAUGAUUAAAUUUGUAUGUUUCACUCUUUAACUCUUUUUUUUUUUAUAUCCAUA